UACGAAGGGGGCUAGCGUUGCUCGGAAUCACUGGGCGUAAAGGGUGCGUAGGCGGGUCUUUAAGUCAGAGGUGAAAGCCUGGAGCUCAACUCCAGAACUGCCUUUGAUACUGGCGAUCUUGAGUUCGGGAGAGGUGAGUGGAACUGCGAGUGUAGAGGUGAAAUUCGUAGAUAUUCGCAAGAACACCAGUGGCGAAGGCGGCUCACUGGCCCGAUACUGACGCUGAGGUGCGAAAGCGUGGG
rnacentral:rRNA from 1 species